GCGUGCAGCAGUAUGGGCGGGAGGCUGUUGAAUGCGUCUCUGUGCUGCCAGGUGCCACAGAGAGAGAUUUUCCCGUGGUAGCGGCAUCCCUCCAACAUGUGUCCACACGGUCUUCUUCGGACGCCCCCACUCCAUCGGCACACUGCAGCGUAGGUUAUAUGAACCACGUUGGUCAAAAAGCUGCCAACACAAAUUUGAGGCAGCGGCUCUACAAGGCCGGUCUUUGGAGUAUGGAACUUUGUAACUAUCCAGCAACAGAGAAAAAGGAGGUGGAUUUGGUGUGUUCUUCUCUGCGGAAAAACGAUUUUCUUGCCAUCACCUGGUGCUUUCUCCACGAGAGAACAAACUGUGCUACGUGCCCCUGGAACAACACUACUCUCACCAUCUUGCACCUUUGUUUCCGGCGUUGAUGAUUCAUUGCCGGGAUGUAACAAAUCCUCUAUUAGCUGAAGCCCAGCCUGUUGAGUUGGUUGUUAGACCUUCUAGUGGCUGGUAGCCAGUGUUGACUGGGAAAGCUUCCAGCCUCAGAGGGACAAUUAACCCAGGAAUGGUCAAACUCGGCAGGAAGCCCUCAACAACCAGCCACUGCUAUUUAUCCACUUUCCAAUGAAACCAAUUACUUUUACUGUGAGUCUCAGUGUCGACAGUAUGCUUGUUGUUCUUGCAGACCAAUAGAGUAUGGCUGUGAAAGGAGAGGCAGACGUGAAGUAGGAAACCCUCCUGAGAUUCUUCAACAGGCUGUAAUGUAUGAGUGUGAGACUGAUUUGAAGGACACACAAAGACUUUUAAUAUUAUUAUUUAUUGGAUUUUUAUAUUAAUUUUAUUGUUCUCUUUGACCUAUGUUGCUGUAUUGUUGUAUUGUUGCUUUGGCAGCUUCUGAUGUCAAAGCACUUUUGGGACUAUUCUUGACUUUUUCUGUUGAAGGAUGAAUAAGUACUUAAUAAAAAACAAGUUUAACCCCAA